UCACUGUAACGGUCGACAGUGGAACUGUAUUUUCCGAGAUUUCUGACCUGGGUUCAAACCCUGCGGUCGGACGUGUUACGCUUUAAGCCUCUUUCGGGAGGUUGCUACACGCUCAGUCUAACAAUCGAGUCGACGUGCCCUGGUAACAAAUCGAUCCUUGCGGGCAGUCCAGGGCGAGAUGUGAGAAGUCCGUCUUGUACCUGGUACGGCAAUGGUAGGCGAGGGUGCUUAACGCUAACCCGUCUCUUGUGCUCCUAUCGCUGAAGGGGAGUUUCAUCCAGCACAGCAAGAGCAACCCGUGAUGGAGGCGACUGGGAUUACACUUGUCCUCGUAUAAGGGAUUUAUCCCUUCGUUGUGGGCGUGAAUCUCAUCCUAUGGAAUGUGAAGAUACUAGAACCCUG
rnacentral:SRP_RNA from 17 species